UGUGUGACAUCAGAUGACCACCUCCACUGUCUUCCAGCCUUGUGUAUGCACACAGGGCCAACAGGAGAGUUCACCCACUUGUUGAAGUGUGGGUAUUUAAGGAGGUGGAAGUAAACACAAAUUACAGCUAUAGCACAGUUCCUCUGAUAAAAACACAUGUACUUUACCAUCUGUCCAAUUAGAAAAUUCUCCUUUUGUGUAUGUUUCUUUGAGGAAGAGUCCACAUCUACAAAGGACCAAAAGUUGGUCUGAACUGAAAUAGUAACUUGUUGGUCAGCCUCUUCUCCAUACUUCUUCCCAGGAAUAAAUACUGUUGUUGUUCUGCUCUCUAGCACUAGGAUAAGACAAAAUUCAUCAGUUAUGUGAUAUAUAGCUUAGAUAUAAAUUCUAGUCUGACACACAUCUGAAAUCAGUCACAAUUAUGAUUUUGCUGAAUUUUUAUGAUUAAUGAAUGUCUGUGGUGUAGCAGAUUUAAGUUUACAGGACCUUGGCUUUUUUGUCUUUGUGUCUUACACAGACCCAUUAAAAACUACAGAUUUUUGCAGCAUUUUGAGGGCCAUAAUUUGUUGGGCAACAAACCUAGCCUUGAAUUUGUGUAUUUAUUCAGUUCUGUCCCCUCAUUUGUUAGGAGGUGGGAGAUUACCAGACUGUAGAAGUUCAAGUUUAUCCUUUUUAUAUGAACCUAAGUCUCCUAUGUAACAGAUGCCACCCUUGGCCAGCACAGCGCUGCAGGCUUGAAUACUGGCACUUCCAGUUCCGUGUUUAUCUUUGGACACAGAAGGAAAAAUGUCACUGAAAGACUCAGCAAUAUUGCAAGUUUUAGAGUAUUGUAAGUGCCUGGUGGAACAACUUGAGAAGCAAAGAUGUUGGCCAGAACAGCAGUAAACCUCCAGCGUGAACUUGAAGUCAGCGAGAGAAGAUACUUAAAAUUUUCACUUACAAAAGAAGGACCUGAUGGAAACAAAGUGCAGGUGAACAAUCAUUAAAGAGACUUAUGCAGGAUCCAUCUUCCAAGAUCUUUGUGCUCUUUAUCCAACUGUGGGAAUAAACUGUGAAGAAAUUAUGGCAGCACUGGCCAUGCUAUAAUAGUAAUAAUAAAGGAGUUCAGAGAAAUUACAUUGGGAGGACAAACAAAUCAACAUCCAAGAGGAAUAACUGGAUUCCAGCUCAACUUCAGCGUGGCAGCAGCAUAAACCCUGUGGCCUGAGAACUGUGCACUGUGGGCUGGAAUGUGUCUAGUGCCUGAAGUAAAAAGUUAAAAGAUAA